rnacentral:sRNA from 1 species
CGGUGUUCCCGGCUGCUAUAGAGCCGGGUGAGAGAGCGAGCGCCCGUCGGCGGGUGUCGAGGGCGGGUUGCCUCGCGCUGACCCUUCCCGCCCUCCUUCUCGUCACACACCAGGUCCCCGCGGAAGCCGCGGUGUCGGCGCCAUGGCGGAGCUGACGGCUCUUGAGAGUCUCAUCGAGAUGGGUUUCCCCAGGGGACGCGCGUAAGGGAGUUCCCCAACCCCGGCCUGCGGGGGUGGGGGGUCGCGGACCUGUCUCGGCCUUUGCCCCAGCCUGACCGUCACCAUGGCUCGUGGGCGCUAUUCAUGGUGUUUCUGCCCCCAGGGAGAAGGCUCUGGCCCUCACAGGGAACCAGGGCAUCGAGGCUGCGAUGGACUGGCUGAUGGAGCACGAAGACGACCCCGAUGUGGACGAGCCUUUAGAGACUCCCCUUGGACAUAUCCUGGGACGGGAGCCCACUUCCUCAGAGCAAGGCGGCCUUGAAGGAUCUGGUUCUGCUGCCGGAGAAGGCAAACCCGUUUUGAGUGAAGAGGAAAGACAGGAACAAACUAAGAGGAUGUUGGAGCUGGUGGCCCAGAAGCAGCGGGAGCGUGAAGAAAGAGAGGAACGGGAGGCAUUGGAACGGGAACGGCAGCGCAGGAGACAAGGGCAAGAGUUGUCAGCAGCACGACAGCGGCUACAGGAAGAUGAGAUGCGCCGGGCUGCUGAGGAGAGGCGGAGGGAAAAGGCCGAGGAGUUAGCAGCCAGACAAAGAGUUAGAGAAAAGAUCGAGAGGGACAAAGCAGAGAGAGCCAAGAAGGUAGGUGACUGAGAAGACGCCACGGGUAAUGGAGUGGGCAGGUUAGUAAAUCUUUUCCAGCUUCAGAGGGAAAGCAUGGGCUUAUAUGAUCUGUUUCACCUGAGGAUGGGUGAGUACCUGAUUGACUGUUUUACUUUGCCCUUUAGUAUGGUGGCAGUGUGGGCUCUCAGCCACCCCCAGUGGCACCAGAGCCAGGUCCUGUUCCCUCUUCUCCCAGCCAGGAGCCUCCCACCAAGCGGGAGUAUGACCAGUGUCGCAUACAGGUCAGGCUGCCAGAUGGGACCUCAC